rnacentral:rRNA from 1 species
GCCCUUAACGCGAAGAACCUUACCAAGGCUUGACAUACACCGGAAACACUCAGAGAUGGGUGCCCCGUAAGGUCGGUGCACAGGUGGUGCAUGGUUGUCGUCAGCUCGUGUCGUGAGAUGUUGGGUUAAGUCCCGCAACGAGCGCAACCCUCGUCCUAUGUUGCCAGCGGGUUAUGCCGGGGACUCAUGGGAGACUGCCGGGGUCAACUCGGAGGAAGGUGGGGAUGACGUCAAAUCAUCAUGCCCCUUAUGUCUUGGGCUUCACGCAUGCUACAAUGGCCGGUACAGAGGGCUGCGAUACCGUAAGGUGGAGCGAAUCCCAAAAAGCCGGUCUCAGUUCGGAUUGGGGUCUGCAACUCGACCCCAUGAAGUCGGAGUCGCUAGUAAUCGCAGAUCAGCAACGCUGCGGUGAGUACGUUCCCGGGCCUUGUACACACCGAAGGGC